AAACAGGAAGCUGCUGGGCCUUCUCGAGUCGACCAUAGCUGCAGUGGAACAAGAACCUAUAACCUCUGCUGCAAUGGAGCAUUAGGGACCAUGCCUUCGAUUUCUUUAUCGCCAAUGGUGAAGAUGACUACCCAUACGAGGGACUUAACGGGAUUUGUGACCCCUCUCGUAAGAAUGCCAGAGUUGUACGCAUAGAUGGGUAUGAAGAUGUACCACCUUACAGUGAGAAAGCGCUGCAAAAGGCAAUGGCACACCAACCUGUUAGUGUUGCAAUUGAAGCUUCUGGCAGAGCAUUCCAACUUUACGUGUCAGUUAGCAGCUACACCCUUCCUUUUGUUGCGGUAGAAAUGAGGGCAUAUUUACUGGCGCAUGCAUUAAACCAUUGGUCGGGUACGGGUCAGAAAAUGGUAAGGAUCAUUGCGUGGUGAGGAACUCAUGUGGGGAGAAAGACGGAUACUUUAGGCUGGUGCGCAAUGUGAUUGAUUGGGAGCUACACGAGCAAGUGUGGAAUUACAAUGCAGUUUCCAUACCCGACUAAAGAUGGUGGAAAUGCAAGCAAGUCGAGAAGAGAAUAUGGAACAAAAUGCCGAAGGGGGGAAGAAGCAGCAUUCAAUCAUCUUCUUUUUACUGCUCUCACCCAACUGAAGAAACAAAAAAGCACAAGCUGCAAGCCUGCAAAUAUCGUCUGUCCAGCCAGCGUCUUGAAAUGCCUUGUUGGAUUACCAACAUUAAUUUCUAUCACCCUUUUCUAUCUUGGUUUAUAUCUAGCUAGAUAAUGAGGAAAGGUUUGUGAGGGAUAUUGAUUUGGACAAUGAGCGUGUGAACUGAACUGGGAAGCAACCUGACGUUAGCGUGUUAGCUUCGCAUUGCUUUGAGCGGACGCUUAAAGCUAUCUCCCUUCUUGCUUGUGUUACUCCCCAUUAGUUACUCAAACGCGGCGAUGGCGAUCAACAAUUCAACUUCAUUUCAAAUCAUGAAACAAUUUUUGACAAUCUUAAUACUAGAGCUUUUUUGGUUCUCUCUUUA